GGUCGCUUGGUGAAAUUGGCAGACACGCAAGACUUAGGAUCUUGUGCCGAAAGGCGUCGGGGUUCGACUCCCCGAGCGACCAC
rnacentral:tRNA from 1 species